GGCUGCUGUAAGGACCAGGAACAGUCAGUGUUUGGAGCUGCCUAUGAGAAACAUUGAGGAGCUUGAGGCUGUGUCCUGUGGGUCUGUCAGUGCUGCCCUGUGGAAGAGACCAACCCCACCUGGCUGCAGCCUCCCUUCAGGAAGUUGUGGUUCCUUGCCCAGAGUCCUGACUCACUGGGUCACAGAGAUCCAGGGCAGGAGGAGGAAGCAGGAGGAGGAGGAGAGUGAUGGAGCAGCUUGAGGGAACAUCUGGCUCCCAGCAAAGCUCAACCCACCCAGCUCACACCAUUAUUCACCUCUGGGGACAGCAUCACCUGCAGCCCUGGUGUCAUCCUGACCACACUGAAACCUCUGUUUCCAAUGUGAAAUUCCACAGGCACCAGAGAGGAGUGGACAAGGAGGGGCCUGCAAAUCCACACAGGCUUUUGGAGAGCCAGGUACAUCAUCCAGAUAGAUGGCACAUGGAACAUGUGAAUCCCUCUACCAAAAUCUAGACAAAUCGAUUAUGUGUAUAUAUAUAUAAUGUAUAAAUAAUGUCCCCAUUAGGGACACCCUCAUGAGGUCUGGGCAUCCCAGUUUCUCUUCCAGGGCAGACUGACUCGACCCCACUGCUCUUUCUGCACAGUUCACACCAAAGAUGGAGUUUAAAAAAGCUCCUUGAGCCCCUUCUGUGUGAGACAGCCAGGGCUGCAGCAGGACAGGGGGAGCACAGGAUGCCCUGCCCUGAGCUGGGAUUGGUUUCUUGCUUGCACCAAAUAAUCAUGCUGCCCUUCAAAACAGGCCUGGGCAGCCUCUGUUUGCCUCAACAUCUCAAGGUGCAGACAAAAGCUGAUUGAUGAAUCUCUUUCUUCUUACAUCCAGUGCUCCUUAACAGCCUUACAGGUGUGGUAGGUUUGUGGUUCCUCUGAAUUCUGACCAAUUUUCCAGCCUGGCAAGGAGAUGUAGCAGCAGAACCCUGCCCUUCCUGCACUUUACUCUGAACAGGGCUCAGAGGGAAGAGGGAGCACCAUCACCCUCCUCACCUGCAGUGACCAAUGUGGUACCAAGAGGGGAUCCCUGGGGAUGCCUUUACAUCAGGCCUGAAAGAAACAAUGAAAUUUCCCAUCCUCAUCCCAUUUCAAGCCCCAGCAGGACAAAGGGAUGGAAACCAGCAUAUGAAAACCCGAACAAAAUCUGGAUUUUCUCAGGUUCAUUUACCUGGUGAGUGUGCACCCACAUGAUGCUAAAACAAGACCAACACCAGCUGCCAUCUCUUUAAGUGAUGUUAAACCUCAGCGAAUCCUCCAUCAGCAAUGAACUCCCGUUUGAAAUGCCUCCAAAUUGCAGAAAAUGAGUGUUUCUUUUGGCGGCCCGGUCCCCCCAUCGGGGUUGCUAUGCAACAGCCUCCUGCACAUGGCUGAUAACACUCCGGGCAUUAUCUCCCCGCCUGACUGCGCCGUCAGAACAAAGCCCGCCUAAUGAAGCUUUCAGAUGCUCCUGGCUCUGCCUUGGACGCUUCAGCACGGGCUUUCCCUUCUCCUAUGUGACAGUCACAGCAGCCACUCGCUGUCCCUCCCAGCCGGAGCGGGAUGGAGAUGCCCAGUGGAGAGCCAUGGACAGCCCUGGGGCACAGCACAGCAGCCCCAAAAUGGGGAGAGCCACAGAGCCUGCCACAGAACCAGGCCCUCUGAAAUGCUGAGCCAUCAGUGGUACAGGUCAGGCCUAUAAAAUGCCCCCCAUUUAUCCAUAUCUGCCCUAAUGCCCUUGUCACCCCUCACUGCCGCCUGCAGGUGUGGGGACAGCGAGGAUGAACUCACUCUGACUGAUACAAAAAAAGGCCAGAAUGAAAACAACUCUCCAGGUCAAGCAGUUCAGUUCAUUGAAGCACUUACAGAUUAUUUUUUUAACAAUCUGUUGAAAUAAAUGUGGCUGUGAUGGUCCCACACAGCAUGUGCAGGCAGACCCAGGUGAAGUUGAGAGGAGCAGCAGCUCCAUCCUCCUGAGAGACCCAAGGCUGACACAAACCCAUUCUGUAGUGCUACCUCCACACAUCUCAUGAGCACUGCCAGGGAUGGUGAUUCCACCCCUUUCCUGGGCAGCCUGUUCCAGUCUUUCAAUGAAGAAAUUUUUCCUAUUCUCUAAUUUAAAUUCUCUAAUCUAAAUUCUUUAAUUUUUUCCAUUCUCCAACUCUCAAAUUUUCUUAUUCUCUAAUUUCCUCUGCCACAACUUGAGGCCAUUUCCUCUUCUUUUGUCACUUGUUACCUGGGAGAAUAGACCAACCCACCUGGCUAUAUCCUAUCCAGUAGUUGUAAAGAGGGAUAAGGUCCAGCCUAAACUCCUUUUCUCCAGGCUGAACAGCCCCAGCUCCCUCAGCUGGUCCCCAUAUUGUGGUCUAGAUGUAGCAGACAUACCCUUUCCCAGUUCACUUCCCAGCAGGGCAGAACCCAAUGAAACAGAGCAUUUCCUUGGCCCUCCAGCAUCUCACCUCCUUAACGGGAUCACCCUCAGUACAGGUGUGGAUGUGACACAAUCCUGGCUUGGCCAGGGAGGGACAAUGGGUGACAGCACACACAGUGUCAGAUUAUCAGACUGCACAGACGCACCACAAAAGCUUCAACAGGUGUUGGGAUCCUGGAUGCUGAGAAUUUUAAACUUUCUCUGAUGAAAGGCACAGACUGGCAAGAGAGAACUGCAUUUGAGCUGAGGCUGUGGAGAAGAGUUGCAAAAUUGAUUGAUAGCACUGGGAUUACGGGUGUGUAGUUGGUUACUAGUGUUAUAUCACAGGGUGGAAAACUUAGAGU